AGAGUUUGAUCAUGGCUCAGAUUGAACGCUGGCGGCAGGCCUAACACAUGCAAGUCGAACGGUAACAGGAAGCAGCUUGCUGCUUCGCUGACGAGUGGCGGACGGGUGAGUAAUGUCUGGGAAGCUGCCUGAUGGAGGGGGAUAACUACUGGAAACGGUAGCUAAUACCGCAUAAUGUCGCAAGACCAAAGAGGGGGACCUUCGGGCCUCUUGCCAUCGGAUGUGCCCAGAUGGGAUUAGCUUGUUGGUGGGGUAACGGCUCACCAAGGCGACGAUCCCUAGCUGGUCUGAGAGGAUGACCAGCCACACUGGAACUGAGACACGGUCCAGACUCCUACGGGAGGCAGCAGUGGGGAAUAUUGCACAAUGGGCGCAAGCCUGAUGCAGCCAUGCCGCGUGUAUGAAGAAGGCCUUCGGGUUGUAAAGUACUUUCAGCGGGGAGGAAGGGAGUAAAGUUAAUACCUUUGCUCAUUGACGUUACCCGCAGAAGAAGCACCGGCUAACUCCGUGCCAGCAGCCGCGGUAAUACGGAGGGUGCAAGCGUUAAUCGGAAUUACUGGGCGUAAAGCGCACGCAGGCGGUUUGUUAAGUCAGAUGUGAAAUCCCCGGGCUCAACCUGGGAACUGCAUCUGAUACUGGCAAGCUUGAGUCUCGUAGAGGGGGGUAGAAUUCCAGGUGUAGCGGUGAAAUGCGUAGAGAUCUGGAGGAAUACCGGUGGCGAAGGCGGCCCCCUGGACGAAGACUGACGCUCAGGUGCGAAAGCGUGGGGAGCAAACAGGAUUAGAUACCCUGGUAGUCCACGCCGUAAACGAUGUCGACUUGGAGGUUGUGCCCUUGAGGCGUGGCUUCCGGAGCUAACGCGUUAAGUCGACCGCCUGGGGAGUACGGCCGCAAGGUUAAAACUCAAAUGAAUUGACGGGGGCCCGCACAAGCGGUGGAGCAUGUGGUUUAAUUCGAUGCAACGCGAAGAACCUUACCUGGUCUUGACAUCCACGGAAGUUUUCAGAGAUGAGAAUGUGCCUUCGGGAACCGUGAGACAGGUGCUGCAUGGCUGUCGUCAGCUCGUGUUGUGAAAUGUUGGGUUAAGUCCCGCAACGAGCGCAACCCUUAUCCUUUGUUGCCAGCGGUCCGGCCGGGAACUCAAAGGAGACUGCCAGUGAUAAACUGGAGGAAGGUGGGGAUGACGUCAAGUCAUCAUGGCCCUUACGACCAGGGCUACACACGUGCUACAAUGGCGCAUACAAAGAGAAGCGACCUCGCGAGAGCAAGCGGACCUCAUAAAGUGCGUCGUAGUCCGGAUUGGAGUCUGCAACUCGACUCCAUGAAGUCGGAAUCGCUAGUAAUCGUGGAUCAGAAUGCCACGGUGAAUACGUUCCCGGGCCUUGUACACACAGCCCGUCACACCAUGGGAGUGGGUUGCAAAAGAAGUAGGUAGCUUAACCUUCGGGAGGGCGCUUACCACUUUGUGAUUCAUGACUGGGGUGAAGUCGUAACAAGGUAACCGUAGGGGAACCUGCGGUUG
rnacentral:rRNA from 1 species